CUCCUGGUAGCUUAGUUGGUUUAAAGCACAAGACUGUAAUUUUAACAAGAUAUCUUGGGAUCGGGUGUUCGAAUCACCCCCGGGAGA
rfam:Hanseniaspora uvarum DSM 2768 Contig_3, whole genome shotgun sequence.